ACAACUUCAGCAACGGAUCUCUUGGCUCUCGCAUCGAUGAAGAACGCAGCGAAAUGCGAUAAGUAAUGUGAAUUGCAGAAUUCAGUGAAUCAUCGAAUCUUUGAACGCACCUUGCGCUCCUUGGUAUUCCGAGGAGCAUGCCUGUUUGAGUGUCAUUAA
rnacentral:rRNA from 2 species